rnacentral:lncRNA from 1 species
AUGUUGUGGCGGGCAGAGAAUUCUCUGUUUCUCCCAAAUGUGUGGAAGGAAUUCCUGCAUCCUCUCCAGCAGAAAAGAACCACAUCCCAGGGAAGAGGCAAACUCCAGUUCCACAAACCACAUUCUCAUGCCUGUGACACAGAAAAAUCUGGAACUCACAGGAGGAAACAGGUGAAGGAUUGCCAGGGGCUAGAGGUGGCAGGGACAACGGGCCCCACUGCUAUUGUGCUGGUCCCAGGGAGUAACAAUUGCUGUCUGCCCUAUAUAAAAACCAUGGUGACUCCAUGUAGAAACUCCAGUCUUCUGAGACACUGAAUCGUGAGUAACUUUCAGUAUCAUUUGUUUCACCAGGACGGUGGCUUUGGAGUGCCCCAUAGCAAUGCCUGUCACCUCCCAAUAUCCCUGAACUGACUUCAGGGUCCAGGCCAGGGUGCAAGCCAUAUGGAUAUCCCUACCAUAGGCUCAGAGAGUGGUCAGGCAGCUGAGGACCCUACUUCACUGCUCCAGGCCACAAAGAGAACUCUACUGGGGUGGCUGAACACUCACAUUUUCAUAGAACAUGGUCCCUCAGAGUAAGCUAUUCUCUCCCUUGAAGAAUCAGAGCAGAUCCCACUGCCAGACAAUGUGCUGAAGUCAUGAAGGCCUCCCAGGAAGCAGAGGGUACCUGUGGACUCAACAAGCUUCUCAGCACUUUUUAAACCUUUUUCUGGUGUGUUUGUGUCUGUGUGUGUGUGUGUGUGUGUGUGUGUGUGUGUGUGUGUGUGUGGACACUCUCACCACAGCAUGUGUGGAGGUGAGAGGACAAUCUGCUAGGUUGGUUUUCUCAUGCCACCAUGUGAGACCCAGGGAUAGAACUCAUGUCGUCAGGCUUGGUGGCAAGUACCUUUCCUCACUGAGCCAUCUUGAUAGCCCAAGGUCCUCAGUUCUUAUUCUGCGAAAGUUAGACUUGUAGAAGUCUAGAUACGGAAGCAUUCCACAUUCUUCCAGAUUCUCUCACCUGACACCUCCAAGGGCACAGUUUAGAGGUGAGGAGGAAAGGACGGGGGGGGGGGGGGGGGCUCAGGGGGGUGAAAAGCUG